GCCUGGGUGGCGGAAUUGGUAGACGCGUUGGACUUAAAAUCCAAUGGCAGUAAUGCCGUGCCGGUUCGAGUCCGGCCCUAGGUACCA
rnacentral:tRNA from 1 species